CAUCACUUGAAUAAGUCGCCUCCCCCGAAUAAGCGCCUCACCCGAAAUGCCGCGGCGCUUACUCGACUUAUUACGGUGGGUAUAAGGGACUAAAAUACACCAUUCCUCAGGUGUAGAGAGGGAACGGACCAAUAACAGUGUUAAACUGCCCAUAUCACCGCGGUUACCCUUAUUAAGCAGAUUGAAAAUAAGCCGUUUGCCAGAUGGUUUAAUUUCUUGGCGAGAGCCAGGCUAAUUUGUCAGAUCUUGCCAAACAAUUUCGCCAGAUGUUUAACUUUAGGCUUUAUUGUCAAUAAAG